CAGACAUUGCAUUAGAAACUAGACCACUCAUAACUUACCCCAGAACUCCUGUACCUGCUGAAGACAGAGUUGGCACCCAUAGUGGGCAGCCAGGUGAUGGAGUGGGAUUCCAGUCUCACCCCUUCGUUCCCAGUACCAUCUGAUCCAUCACUUAUGUAAUUACAGAUGGAGCCAAACUUCUCUCCCUUUAGUUUCUUGUCCCUCACUACAUAUGUAUAGCAAUGAUCUGAAAGCCGACCAAAUGCUGUCUUUCAAAACACCUUCUGAAUUGACACCGCAUUGGACAAUGCUAAAGAGAAGAGUUCAGUUGUUUUAAAGAGAGACAGAGACAGAAAGAGGUGACAAAGUGGGAGAUUCCAGUCAGCUUGGAUAUAGAUGCUUGGUAUCUAUAUCCCCAAGACUGAGAAGCCAUCCAGGAGAACCAUUGGCCUGAGGGAAGGAGGAAGCAGGCAAGCCCGUCAGUAACAAAGCUUGGCUAUUAGUUGGGAAGACAAGAUGACAUUUCUGAGUAUGACCUGGUAUAUUUAGGGAGCUGUGAGUAAAAAUUUAAAAAACUAUUCAUAGGUUGUGACGCUGUAGCCUAAGCAACAUCUCUCCAUUACUCAUUCUUAGAGACGAAAAAAGCAUUCUUCCUCACUUCUCCGUUUCCCAGGCAUCUAGCAUUCCUGAGUUCAUUGCAUUUCCCUGGCCAAAGUAGUUAGUUGAGAGACAGCCACACAAUCCGGCUGGAACCAGUCUUUGGUCUUCUGCAAAAGCAAGUAGGAAGGAAAGCCUCUUUCCUCAGGGAUUCAAAUCUGGGGGAGUUAGCUUCUUGCUGCUGGUGGCCAUCUUUUCAUCACAGGACACCUGCAAAUGAAGCCAUCACGAGGGACGGCAGAUCUGAGAUACAGAGAGAGACAUCAUUUGAGCCUCUGGAUUAAUAUCCCUUCUGGCUUAAACUAGUCUGAUUUGGAUUUUCUGACCUUUGCCACCCAAAGUUUUCACGGUGGGGUUGAUCUUGAUGGAUUGGGCCAUUUUUUAGUUAGAUCUGUCAGGGAAAACCUCUCUGAGCAUCUGGAAGUCUAUGGAUCAAGGUGCUAAUGGUGCACCAUUUCCCGAGGAUAGGAUUAGAGCUACUGGGUAUUUAAGAGACAGCAUUUAUUCCUCUAGACUCAGGGAUAAUUUGCGAGAGAGCUCGCAGGUGGACUUUUCACUUAUGCACGCCUCAUUUGUCUUCCUCUUAUAAGGACUUGGUGGCUUACUGUGAGAACAGCUGAAUCUCCUCUCAAGAUAUACUCCUGGUGCACAUGAGAACAGAUGACAUAUUAAACCGUUUCACUUCUGUGGGGUUUAAGUCAUUAAUGUGUUAGAUUGUCAAGUACAAGAAUCAGAAUGUUAGACUUUCAUAGACAGUCUCCCUAAGGACCUUGUUAGAAGCCAUGUGUUUUCACAGUGUAUGUGGAUGCUUUAUAAGGACAGCUAUUAAAAGAUGACCAAUACAAAAGGUCAUCUUGGACACUGGGAAAGAGCUCUAGAAUCCAAAUAAAAAGCAUGUAUUGAGUUCCAGCUUGCAUCAUACCUGCUAUAUGAGCUUGGGCCAGCCAAUUGACUGCUCUGAGCCUCAGUGGCUCAAUUUGUUAAGUGGAGCAAAUCAAAAAGUCUAGGGGAUUAAAUGAGAUAUUUAUAUCUCAAAGUAUAAUACUCUUUCUUGACAUAAAAUGAUAAGGGGUGUGCCAUGGACUGAAUUAUGUCCCCCCAAAAUUCACAUUGAAGCCCUAACCAGCAAGGUGACUGUAUUUGGAGAUAGGGCUUUUAGGAGGUAAUUAGGUUAAAUAAGGUCAUACGGUUGGGGUCCUAAAUCUGAUAGGAUUGGUGGUCUUAGAAGAAGAGGAAGAGAGAGAGACAAGAGGGUCUCUCUCUCUCUCUCUUUCUCCACGUGCACACACCCAGGAAAGGCCACGUGAGGACACAGUGAGAUGGCAGUCACUGGCGAGCCAGGAAGAGAGCUCUUACCAGAACCCAGCCAUACUGGCACCUUGAUCUCAGACUUCCACCUUCCAGAACUGUGAGAAAAUAAGUUUCUGUUGUUUAAGACACAGAUGCUUUGUUAUGGCAGCUGAGCUGACUCAUACAAUGUAUAAGAAAAGAAUGCAUCCAACGGAUGGUGGCCCCCUCUCCAUUCAACUCAAAGAAGACCAGGAGAAUGCAUUGACUUUGCAGCUGGAGGAAAAGUAGCUUAGACAUAAUGUAGUAUGUAGAGAAAGAACAUCGGUCUAGGAUGGCGGUAUUGAGUUUCUAAUCUGGCCUCAGUCUUCUCCUGUCUGUGUGACCUUGAGCAAGUCAUAAAAGAUGGAAGGCUUUGGGAUCUUAGUUUCCUAAUUUCUAAAAUAAAGAGAUUUUAACAAAAUGCUUUUCAAGAUCUUUCUUCUUCCUUUUAGAGGUUUGUUUGAGCUCCAUGAUCUUUUUUGCCUUCCCCUGAUGAAACAGUGAAAACACUUGAGAGCUAUCUAGAAGGAUUGUGGGG
ensembl:lncRNA